AUGGUCGGGUUUUCACUUUACCUUUUGCUGGUGGUUGCUGUCUGCUGUCAGGCCUAUCGAGUUGCUAGGAAAUUUCGGCCAAGAUACCAUCUAAGGAGUCGGUGGCUUAGGUCACAUGGCGGCCCUGAUUCUGCUACAGAAGACUUUAGCCCAACCCAAAGUGAGGAAGCCCCAAGUCAUUAUGCACCUGUUGAGGAAUAUCUCCCGGAAAGCCAAAAGAGUAUGCAGCAGGCGCAGACAAACGAGAUGAAGCUUUCCCAGGCCCCAGCUCCAGUGUGGGAGAAUCAAGUGAAGCCCUCACUCCCUGCCCAGACAAGCCGGGAGUGGGCUCCUGCUGAUGGUCCAUCAGGGUCAACCCCUGAACGCUUCGUCACGAUCACUACGCCGUCAGGUUUUCGAACUCGCUACAUAGUGAAGUCUUUCAACCGUUAUGCGGUUGGGAUUUUGGAGUUUUCCCAGACCACCUACAUCCCCCUUGGACGUGCCUUCCCCUGGAUUCCUGGUACAGCUCCUGUUCCUACCUCUCCGCAUGAAGCCCAAACUGAAGAGCUCCUCUACGGAAGGUAGUUCAAGGUUCUUUUCAUUUUUUUUUUUUUUAGUGAAGGGUUGGCAUAAGUUUGAGCCCAUAAUAGCACAGACAAACAAGAUGGUUUCCCAGGGCCCCAGCUCCAGUGUGGGAGAAUCAAGUGAAGCCCUCACUCCCUGCCCAGACAAGCCGGGAGUGGGCUCCUGCUGAUGGUCCAUCAGGGUCAACCCUUGAACGCUUCGUCAAGAUUACUAGGACGUAAGGUUUUCAAACUCGCUACAGAGUGGUCUUUCAACCGUUUUGUGCUUGGGAAGUUGUGGUUUUCCCAGACCACCUACAUCCCCCUUGGACGUGCCUUCCCCCGCAUCCCUGGUAAAGCUCCUGUUCCUACCUCUCCGCAUGAAGCUCAAACUGAAGAGCUCCUCUACGGAAGGUAGUUCAAGGUUCUUUUAAUUUUUUUAGUGAAGGGUUGGCAUAAGUUUUGAGUGGUUCAACUUCCUUCUCCCUACAGGAAGGCUUAGGAUUUGAGGAGUGGACAUUUCUGUGCCAUGGAUGUCUGUCUUCAUAUUUGAGUGGAUUAAAUUAACUUUGCCCUGGUUACUGAUGUAAAUGCUGUGUAUUUAUUUAUUUAUUUAUUUAUUUAUUUUCCCCUCCCAGGCUCAUCUGGAUGUCUAGCUUUCACAGUAAAUUUUGGCUUAAUAAAGGUUUCCUUUAUCCUGU
ensembl:lncRNA